rnacentral:rRNA from 1 species
AUCAACGCUGGCGGCGUGCCUAACACAUGCAAGUCGAACGAGAAAGUGGGUGCAAUCCCAUGAGUACAGUGGCGAACGGGUGAGUAACACGUGACUAACCUACCUUCCAGUGGGGGAUAACCUCGGGAAACCGGGGCUAAGACCGCAUAAACUCGCGAGGUGAGAAUCCUAGUGAGCAAAGGGGUAAGACGCUGGUAGAGGGGGUCGCGGCCGAUUAGCUAGUUGGCGGGGUAACGGCCCACCAAGGCGAUGAUCGGUAGCCGGCCUGAGAGGGCGCACGGCCACACUGGAACUGAAACACGGUCCAGACUCCUACGGGAGGCAGCAGUGGGGAAUUUUGCACAAUGGGGGAAACCCUGAUGCAGCAACGCCGCGUGGAGGAUGAAGUCCCUUGGGACGUAAACUCCUUUCGACCGGGACGAUAAUGACGGUACCGGUGGAAGAAGCCCCGGCUAACUCCGU